UACGGAGGGGGCUAGCGUUGUUCGGAAUUACUGGGCGUAAAGCGCACGUAGGCGGACUGUUAAGUCAGGGGUGAAAUCCUGGAGCUCAACUCCAGAACUGCCUUUGAUACUGAGGAUCUUGAGUACGGGAGAGGUGAGUGGAACUGCGAGUGUAGAGGUGAAAUUCGUAGAUAUUCGCAAGAACACCAGUGGCGAAGGCGGCUCACUGGCCCGUAACUGACGCUGAGGCACGAAAGCGUGGGGAGCAAACAGG
rnacentral:rRNA from 1 species